rnacentral:rRNA from 1 species
AUGGCAGAGGGUGUUGUAGCGUUGCUGAUUGCCAAGCUUGGUUUUGCCUUGGCAAAAGAGGCAGCAACCUUUGGUGCAUCGCUGCUAUGCAAGGAAGCAUCUGCACUCAAGGGUCUCUUCGGCGAGAUCCGUGAGGCCAAGGAGGAGCUGGAGAGCAUGCAGGCCUAUCUCCAGGGGGCGGAGCGGUUCAAGGACACCGAUGAGACCACCGGCAUCUUCGUCAACAAGGUUAGGGGCUUCGCCUUCGAGAUCGAGGAUGUGGUCGACGAGUUCACCUACAAGCUGGAAGACACCCAUGGGGGAUUCGCGACCAAGAUGAAGAAGAGGGUCAAGCACAUCAAGGCAUGGCGCCGUCUGACACUCAAGCUCCAAGAUAUUAAGGGCAGGCUUCAGGGUGCAGAUAGGAGAAAGGUCCGCUACGACAUGAGAGGGAUUGAUAGAGGGGGCUGCAACAAUGUUCAGUCAAGAUCUGCUGACCAUUCUCUGAAUCCUCCUAGGGAAGAGGAUCUUGUGGGUAUUGAGGAGAACAAGGACAAGCUGAUGCACUGGCUGGUGGGUGAUUUGGAGGAGCAGGGGAGCAAAAUUGCAACUAUUUGGGGAAUGGGAGGUGUGGGUAAGACCACUUUGGUUCAUCAUGUGUACAAGGCCGUGAAGAUGGACUUUGCUAAAUAUGCGUGGAUAACAGUAUCAAGUAGCUACCAAGUUGAAGACUUGUUGAGACAGAUAGCAACUGAACUCGGUGUCGCAAUUGGCCUCGCGGACGCAAACAGGAACCUGGUUGAGGUAAUCCAUAAUCAUCUGCAAGGUUCAGAAUAUCUCAUAGUUCUGGAUGAUGUUUGGCAUUUGGAUGUUUGGUUUAAGGUAAGGAAUGCAUUUCCUACAGAAAGCACUAGUCGAUUUGUCAUCACCACUAGAAUCCAGGAGGUGGCAUUGCUGGCAACAAAAAACUGUACAAUCAAAUUGGAACCAUUAGAAAGACAUCAUGCAUGGCAGUUAUUUUGCAAUGAAGCCUUUUGGAACAAUGAGAAAAAAACAUGCCCAGAUGAACUAGAAAUUUUAGCUCAAAUGUUUCUGGAUAAGUGUGGUGGCUUGCCCAUUGCUAUUGCUUGUGUAGGCCGCUUGUUGUCAUGCAGGCAUCCAACAUACUCUGAAUGGAAAAGUUUAUACAAGGAGUUAGAGUUGCAGCUCAGUAAUAAUGUGAUCCUCGAUGUUAAUGCUGUUCUGAAAGUCAGCUUGGAGGACCUUCCAACUGAUCUGAAGAACUGUUUUCUGUACUGCACAAUGUUUCCAGAGGAUUAUCUGUUCCAAAGAAGACAGGUAAUGAGGCAUUGGAUAGAAUCUGGAUUCAUUAAAGAAGCAGGGAACAAAACAUUGGAUGAAGUGGCAGAGGGUUACCUGAACAAACUUGUAAACAGAAGCCUACUGCAGGUAGUCGAGCGGAACCGGGCUGGCCAAGUUUAUAGGUGCCGAAUGCAUGACAUUCUCCGUGUUUUAGCUCUCACUAAAUCAGAAGAGGAAUCCUUUUGUCAUGUUUACAAUGGCUUAACGCCUUUUUCGACCAAGAAGACGCGUCGUCUGUCAAUUCAGAGUACAAACGUGGAACAAUUGGCCCCGUUGCUGUGUGCAACAAGUCUCCGCUCUCUGCAUGUUUUUGAGAGUCAUCUGAGAAUUGAUUCUCUAGAGGCUUUCCUCAAACCUUUCAACUUACUGUCAACAUUGGAUCUGCAGGGAGUUCAAAUCAAGAGACUACCCAAGAUUGUCUUCAACUUGUUUAAUCUCCGCUUUCUAGGUCUUCGAGAUACUCAUAUUGAGUAUCUCCCAAAAGAAAUAGGAAGGUUACAGAACCUGGAAGUCCUUGAUGCUUACAAUUCUAUGCUAUCGGCGCUUCCAGUGCAAGUAGCCACACUUCGGAAAUUGAAAUACCUGUAUGUGGUUACUAUUCCAGCUGGAGCUGACGAGAGAGUUCUUACUUUUGAAGGGAUCCAGGUGCCUAAGGGUAUCGGCAAUUUGACCGACUUGCUGGCCCUGCAACUUAUCGAAGCUAGCAGUGAGGUUCUGUUUCAGCUAGGAUAUUUGACCAAGAUGAGAAGUUUUUCUAUCACUAAAGUUAGGAGUGGCCAUUGGGCAGAUUUGUGUGGGGCCAUCGCGAAAAUGGUUCAUCUUGUUCAUGUAACAAUCCAUUCACUUGAUCAAAGGGAAGUUCUGCAGCUGGAAUCACUAUGCUUACCACCAACAGUUUUGGAAGUUGUAAUAUAUACGCAGCUGGACCAAAGAGUUCUACCUCAGUUCGUCUCAUCCAGUUCAAAACUCAUUAACCUCACUGGUUUACAUUUGGGUUGGUCCAAAUUAGAUGAAAACUCUUUUGCGUGCCUCUUGGGUUUGCAUGGCUUAGUUACACUUGUCCUUAAUAAGGCUUAUGAUGGAAAGGAGCUGAACUUUCCUGCAACAUCACUUCCAAAACUCAAAUAUUUACGGAUAUGGGAUGCUCCAAAUCUCAGCAGAGUUACAAUUAAACAACGUGCGAUGCAAAAUAUUGUUCAACUAAUUCUCAGUGACUGUCCAGAAUUGAAACAUCUUCCUCAUGGCAUCGAGCAUCUUAGUACCCUCGAGUACCUGAAGCUGUGCGAUAUUUCCGAAGAGCUGACACGGAAGCUUCAGCUAAAUGAGGAAUCAAAGGAAUGCAAUGAAGAUUGGAUGAAAAUUAGCCAUGUGAGAUGGGUUGACUUUAAUUAG